AGAGGGUUUUGCGAAACGAUGAUGGAGGAGAGUUUUUCAAUUGCGAAACGAUGAUGGUGGUUUUGCGAUUCUGAGAGAGAAUCUUACGAUGAUGGUGGUUUGGUUUUGCGAACCAUGGUGGAGAGAGAGGGUUUUGCGAUUCUGAUUGAGUUUUGCGAAAUGUUUUGAUGUUGAACGAGAAAUGGUUUAAUAAAAUAUAUGUAUUUUA
rnacentral:lncRNA from 1 species